CGUAUAGGUUCAAUGAGUGUAGUUGUAAAAAAUCAUCAAAAUCGGAGUUAAAAUAACCAUUAAAUCAUGAUUUUUUGUUUUAUAACCGUCGAAAUGUUUUGUUCAUUACUUGAUCUCUGAAUGUUUUUUUUUUGUGAUUUUUGGCGUAUGCGAUCUCGAAGCAUAUACAAACAAGUUUGACGGUUGGAUCGUUGAAAUUAGUUUCAUAGAAUUCGUAUCCCAUCAAAACGAUAGAUUCACUAACACUUAGAGUUUAUUUAUACUUUCAUCAAGUAUAACAUAAGAUUUUGUGGCAUCCACUAGUGUAAAUAUUUUAAAUUGAAAAUCGAAUUCAUUCAUUGUAUUCAUAUAGAGUCAAGGAGUGUAGUUGUAAAAAAUCAUCAAAAUCGGAGUUAAAAUAAUCGUUAAAUCGUCAUUUUUUGUUUUAUAACCGUUGAAAAGUUUUGUCUCAUUACUAGAUCUCUAAAUGUUUAUUUUUUGUGAUUUUUAGCGUAUGCGAUCUCGAAGCAUAUACAAACGAGUUUGCCGGUUGGAUUGUUAAAAUUAGUUUCAUAGAAUUCGUAUGCCAUCAAAGCCAUAGAUUCACUAACACUUAGAGUUUAUUUAUACUUUCAUCAAUUAUAACAUAAGAUAUUGUGGUAUCCAUUUAUGUAAAUAUUUUAAAUUGACGAUCAAAUUCAUUCAUUGUAUUCGUAUAGGGUAAAGGAGUGUAGUUGUAAAAAACUUCAAAAUCGGAGUUAAAAUAACCGUUAAAUCGUGAUUUUUUGUUUUAUAACCGUAAAAAAGUUUUGUCUCAUUACUUAAUCUCUGAAUGUUUGUUUUUUGUGAUUUUUGGCGUAUGCGAUCUUGAAAUAUAUACAAACAAGUUUGACAGUUGGAUUGUUAAAAUUAGUUUCAUAUAAUUCGUAUCCCAUCAAAACGAUAGAUUCACUAACACUUAGAGUUUAUUUAUACUUUCAUUAAGUAUAACAUAAGAUUUUGUGGUAUCCACUUUUGUAAAUAUUUUAAAUUGACGAUCAAAUUCAUUCAUUGUAUUCGUAUAGGGUAAAGGAGUGUAGUUGUAAAAAACUUCAAAAUCGAAGUUAAAAUAACCGUUAAAUCGUGAUUUUUUGUUUUAUAACCGUAAAAUUUUUUUGUCUCAUUACUUAAUCUCUGAAUGUUUGUUUUUUGUGAUAUUUGACGUAUGCGAUCUCGAAAUAUAUACAAACAAGUUUGACAGUUGGAUCGUUAAAAUUAGUUUCAUAUAAUUCGUAUCCCAUCAAAACAAUAGAUUCACUAACACUUAGAGUUUAUUUAUACUUUCAUUAAGUAUAACAUAAGAUUUUGUGGUAUCCACUUUUGUAAAUAUUUUAAAUUGACGAUCAAAUUCAUUCAUUGUAUUCAUAUAGGGUCAUGGAGUGUAGUUGUAAAAAAUCAUCAAAAUCGGAGUUAAAAUAACCGUUAAAUCGUGAUUUUUUGUUU
rnacentral:lncRNA from 1 species